GCGAUACCCGAAUGGGGAAACCCAGUGUGACUCGUCACACUAUCAUUAACUGAAUCCAUAGGUUAAUGAGGCGAACCGGGGGAACUGAAACAUCUAAGUACCCCGAGGAAAAGAAAUCAACCGAGAUUCCCCCAGUAGCGGCGAGCGAACGGGGAGGAGCCCAGAGCCUGAAUCAGCAUGUGUGUUAGUGGAAGCGUCUGGAAAGGCGCGCGAUACAGGGUGACAGCCCCGUACACAAAAGCGCAUGUGUUGUGAGCUCGAUGAGUAGGGCGGGACACGUGGUAUCCUGUCUGAAUAUGGGGGGACCAUCCUCCAAGGCUAAAUACUCCUGACUGACCGAUAGUGAACCAGUACCGUGAGGGAAAGGCGAAAAGAACCCCGGCGAGGGGAGUGAAAAAGAACCUGAAACCGUGUACGUACAAGCAGUGGGAGCACAGGUUUACCUGUGUGACUGCGUACCUUUUGUAUAAUGGGUCAGCGACUUAUAUUCUGUAGCAAGGUUAACCGUAUAGGGGAGCCGGAGGGAAACCGAGUCUUAAUUGGGCGUUAAGUUGCAGGGUAUAGACCCGAAACCCGGUGAUCUAGCCAUGGGCAGGUUGAAGGUUGGGUAACACUAACUGGAGGACCGAACCGACUAAUGUUGAAAAAUUAGCGGAUGACCUGUGGCUGGGGGUGAAAGGCCAAUCAAACCGGGAGAUAGCUGGUUCUCCCCGAAAGCUAUUUAGGUAGCGCCUCGUGAAUUCAUCUCCGGGGGUAGAGCACUGUUUCGGCUAGGGGGCCAUCCCGGCUUACCAACCCGAUGCA
rnacentral:rRNA from 1 species